ensembl:lncRNA
GAUUUGGGGUGAAAUGACCCCCAAUUGGGGCAAAAUGACCCCCAAAUUGGAGUUAAGUGGUGAUUUUGGGGUGAAAUGACCCCAAAUGGGGGCAAAAUGACCCCAAAUUGGGACUGAGUGCUGAUUGGGGUGAAAUGACCCCAAAAUGGGGGCAAAAAUGACCCCAAAUUGGGACUGAGUGUUGAUUUUGGGGUGAAAUGAUCCUAAGUUGGGGCAAAAAGACCCCAAAUUGGGUUGAAAUGACCCCAAAUUGGGCCUAAGUGGUGUUUUUGGGGUGAAAUGAGCCCGAAUUGGGGCAAAAUGACCCCAAAUCGGGACUGAGUGUUGAUUUUAGGAUGAAAUGAUCCUAAAUUGGGGCAAAAAGACCCCAAAUUAGGGCAUAAUGACCCCAAAUUGGGGCAAAAUGACCCCCAAAUUGGGUUGAAGUGACCCCAAAUUGGGACUGAGUGCUGAUUUUGGGGUGAAAUGACCCCAAAUGGGGGCAAAAUGACCCCAAAUUGGGACUGAGUGCUGAUUUUGGGGUGAAAUGACCCCAAAUGGGGGCAAAAUGACCCCAAAUUGGGACUGAGUGCUGAUUUUGGGGUGAAAUGACCGCAAAUGGGGGCAAAAUGACCCCAAAUUGGGACUGAGUACUGAUUUUGGGGUGAAAUGACCCCAAAUUGGUCUAAUUUGGCGUUCAUUUUGUCCCUAAGUGGUGAUUUUGGGGUGAAAUGACCCCAAAUUGGGGCAAAAUGACCCCCGGAUGAGGUUGAGAUGACCUCAAAUGGGGGCAAAAUGACCCCAAAAUUGGGUUGAAAUGGCCCCAAAUUGGGACUGAGUGUUGAUUUUAGGAUGAAAUGAUCCUAAAUUUGGGGCAAAAUGACCCCAAAUUGGAGCUAAGUGGUGAUUUUGGGGUGAAAUGACCCCAAAUUGGGGCAAAAUGACCCCCAUAUGAGGUUGAGAUGACCCCAAAUUGGGACUGAGUGUUGAUUUUGGGGUGAAAUGAUCCUAAGUUGGGGCAAAAAGACCCCAAAUUGGGUUGAAAUGACCCCAAAUUGGGCCUAAGUGGUGUUUUUGGGGUAAAAUGAGCCCGAAUUGGGGCAAAAUGACCCCAAAUUGGGACUGAGUGUUGAUUUUAGGAUGAAAUGAUCCUAAAUUGGGGCAAAAAGACCCCAAAUUAGGGCAUAAUGACCCCAAAUUGGGGCAAAAUGACCCCCAAAUUGGGCUGAAGUGACCCCAAAUUGGGACUGAGUGCUGAUUUUGGGGUGAAAUGACCCCAAAUGGGGGCAAAAUGACCCCAAAUUGGGACUGAGUGUUGAUUUUGGGGUGAAAUGAUCCUAAGUUGGGGCAAAAAGACCCCAAAUUGGGGCAUAAUGACCCCAAAUUGGGGCAAAAUGACCCCCAAAUUGGGUUGAAGUGACCCCAAAUUGGGACUGAGUGCUGAUUUUGGGGUGAAAUGACCCCAAAUGGGGGCAAAAUGAACCCCAAAUUGGGGCUGAGCUCAGUGAAAUCGGGUUAAAAUCCCCCUAAUUUGGGUCUGAAUGGUGUUAAUUGCGUCAUUAAUUACCCGCCGUUCGUUACCCGCCGCUCGCCAAUACCAAACCCGUCGUUUUGGGGUCAAAAGUGGGGAUUUUGGGGUCAUAAGUGGGGAUUUGGGGGCUGAAAAGAAGGAUUUGGGGGUCAACAAUGGGGAUUUUGGGGUCAACAGUGCGG